rnacentral:misc_RNA from 1 species
GCAAACUUGGUCAUUUAGAGGAAGUAAAAGUCGUAACAAGGUUUCCGUAGGUGAACCUGCGGAAGGAUCAUUAUUGAAUACUAGAUGGGUUGUAGCUGGUCCUUUGGGGCAUGUGCACGCCUGUCAUGAUUCUAUUCAUCCACCUGUGAACAAUUUGUAGACUUUGAAGGGCUGAUAGUUUGCUGAUUAUCAGUCUCUUGACUGGACGAGAGGAUUGCUUGAAUGCAUAUGAGCAUACAGCUUUUCUCAACAAGCCACAAUCUCCCUUUGAGUCUAUGUCUUUUUACAUAUACCUCAUUGUAUGUUGCAAAAUGUAUUUAACAAGGGCAUUCUAUGCCUAUAUAAAAUCUAUACAACUUUCAGCAACGGAUCUCUUGGCUCUCGCAUCGAUGAAGAACGCAGC